rnacentral:rRNA from 1 species
UACGUAGGGGGCGAGCGUUGUCCGGAAUUAUUGGGCGUAAAGAGCGUGUAGGCGGUUCGGUAAGUCUGCCGUGAAAACCUGAGGCUCAACCUCGGGCGUGCGGUGGAUACUGCCGGGCUAGAGGACGGUAGAGGCGAGUGGAAUUCCCGGUGUAGCGGUGAAAUGCGCAGAUAUCGGGAGGAACACCUAUGGCGAAGGCAGCUCGCUGGGACGUUACUGACGCUGAGACGCGAAAGCCAGGGGAGCGAACGGG